UGGCGCCCAACGUGGGGCUCGAGUACGAGGGGUACAGUGAGGGACGCCGUCGAGGUCAGCCGGCACAGAAGGAUUGAGAAAACCCGGAGGAAAGAGCAUCGUGGGAGCCUGCCACGGACUUGCGCUCCGGUAAGCGGACGGCGAAUAUGGGACAGGAAAUCAGCCAGCAUGAGUUGUUUAUAGAGAGUUUAAGUAAGGCUUUAAAGGCGCGAGGAGUAAAGGUGAAAAUAAAACAAUUGUGUAAAUAUUUUGACUAUAUCCAUCCAGGAUGUCUGCCCUU
rfam:Callithrix jacchus chromosome 9, whole genome shotgun sequence